rnacentral:misc_RNA from 1 species
UCCGGUUUGUCACCGGCAGUCUCAUUAGAGUGCCCAACUAAAUGUAGCAACUAAUGACAAGGGUUGCGCUCGUUGCGGGACUUAACCCAACAUCUCACGACACGAGCUGACGACAGCCAUGCAGCACCUGUGUUCCGGUUCUCUUUCGAGCACUCCCGACUUUCAUCAGGAUUCCGGACAUGUCAAGGGUAGGUAAGGUUUUUCGCGUUGCAUCGAAUUAAUCCACAUCAUCCACCGCUUGUGCGGGUCCCCGUCAAUUCCUUUGAGUUUUAAUCUUGCGACCGUACUCCCCAGGCGGUCAACUUCACGCGUUAGCUGCGUUACCAAUCCAAUUAAGGACCGACAACUAGUUGACAUCGUUUAGGGCGUGGACUAC